UGAAAGUUGCUGGUGAACACAGCAGGCCAGGCAGCAUCUCUAGGAAGAGGUGCAGUCGACAUUUCAGGCCGAGACCCUUCGUCAGGACUAACUGAAGGAAGAUCUAACCUAUAUGAAAUGAUGGUUAAUAUUCUGCAAGGCUGCUCAUUUGGUCCACCCCACAAGGUAAAGCAGUCACGAAGAAUUCUGCAGAUGCUGGAAAUUCAAGCAACGUCGACUGUACCUCUUCCUAGAGAUGCUGCCUGGCCUGCUGCGUUCACCAGCAACUUUGAGGUGAUUUAGCAAUACCAGUGUGCCAGAGAAAUUAGGCUGCAAUCAAGUUCCCUGACUUGUGUGAAUGCAGCUGUCCUGUGAGAUCGAGGAUUCACUCUGGAAUGUACUGCAAGUGUGGGAUUGUUGAUUCACCUUGUUAUAUUUUGACAGCAGCCUGUUUAAACAUUUAGGUGCAUUUAGACUACCACAAGGUUCAACCUUAUUUGAGAAACUAUGCAGUUUAAUGGUCAGCAGAGAAAUCAUAUUGCAAAGCUGUUAAACUUUAGAUCAAAAGGCUAGUAAUAAAUAUUUUGAAACAGGCUUUUCAAUAUAAUUCAAUUUUUUUCCAAUAUAAAAUGAAUGUAAAUCAAACCACAAACAACAGGAAUUCUGCAGAUGCU